CGUGUUCUAGAGAGAGGGAAAAAGGGAAGAACACCUUCAAGAACAAAAACUCAAAAUUCAGCAAAUUAGAAAGGAAAUCGAUGGUUAAUCUCUUGCAUGAGCCCUAAUACAUGAUCAUCUAAGCUCGUUUAACAAGUGGUGUGAAGGAAGAAGGUGCAAGCAACAAGAAACCUUAAGGCUUGCAAAAUCAAGGUAAAUCUCAUCCUUAAUAACGGCGAUCCUGGAUCGAACACACUACAACUCAUGCCCAAAAAUGCGCUUCCGUAUAAGUUUUUGUGUCAAAUGGGUCAAAACUCUCUUUUGGUUUAUAAGAUGUUCCUUUGUAUUUAAGGUCUUUUGUAAGUAGAUUAGUUGAUGGUCAUGGUU